UACGUAGGGGGCAAGCGUUGUCCGGAUUUAUUGGGCGUAAAGCGCGCGCAGGCGGUGAGGUAAGUCCGUCGUGAAAUCUCCCGGCUCAACUGGGAGGGUGCGGGGGAGACUGCCUGACUGGAGGCACUCAGAGGCCGGUGGAAUUCCCGGUGGAGUGGUGAAAUGCGUAGAGAUCGGGAGGAACACCAGUGGCGAAGGCGGCCGGCUGGGGGUGACCUGACGCUGAGGCGCGAAAGCGUGGGGAGCGAACCGG
rnacentral:rRNA from 1 species